UAGGGAAUCUUCGGCAAUGGACGAAAGUCUGACCGAGCAACGCCGCGUGAGUGAAGAAGGUUCUCGGAUCGUAAAACUCUGUUGUUAGAGAAGAACAAGGACGUUAGUAACUGAACGUCCCCUGACGGUAUCUAACCAGAAAGCCACGGCUAACUACGUGCCAGCAGCCGCGGUAAUACGUAGGUGGCAAGCGUUGUCCGGAUUUAUUGGGCGUAAAGCGAGCGCAGGCGGUUUCUUAAGUCUGAUGUGAAAGCCCCCGGCUCAACCGGGGAGGGUCAUUGGAAACUGGGAGACUGGAGUGCAGAAGAGGAGGGUGAAAUUCCAUGUGUAGGGGUGAAAUGCGUAGAUAUAUGAAGGAACACCGGUGGCGAAGGCGGCUCUCUGGUCUGUAACUGACGCUGAGGCUCGAAAGCGUGGGGAGCAAACAGG
rnacentral:rRNA from 1 species